AUUGUACGCUGGCGGCAUGCCUUACACAUGCAAGUCGAACGGUAACGCGGGGCAACCUGGCGACGAGUGGCGAACGGGUGAGUAAAGCAUCGGAACGUGCCCAGUAGUGGGGGAUAGCCCGGCGAAAGCCGGAUUAAUACCGCAUACGACCUAUGGGUGAAAGGGGGGGAUCGCAAGACCUCUCGCUAUUGGAGCGGCCGAUGUCAGAUUAGGUAGUUGGUGGGGUAAAGGCCUACCAAGCCGACGAUCUGUAGCUGGUCUGAGAGGACGACCAGCCACACUGGGACUGAGACACGGCCCAGACUCCGACGGGAGGCAGCAGUGGGGAAUUUUGGACAAUGGGCGCAAGCCUGAUCCAGCCAUGCCGCGUGCGGGAAGAAGGCCUUCGGGUUGUAAACCGCUUUUGUCAGGGAAGAAAGCCUUUGGGUUAAUACCUCGGGGGGAUGACGGUACCUGAAGAAUAAGCACCGGCUAACUACGUGCCAGCCGCCGCAGUAA
rnacentral:rRNA from 1 species